AACGAACGCUGGCGGCAUGCCUAACACAUGCAAGUCGAACGAGACCUUCGGGUCUAGUGGCGCACGGGUGCGUAACGCGUGGGAACCUGCCCUUAGGUUCGGAAUAACUCCCCGAAAGGGGUGCUAAUACCGGAUAAUGUCUUCGGACCAAAGAAUUAUCGCCUUUGGAUGGGCCUGCGUUGGAUUAGCUAGUUGGUAGGGUAAAAGCCUACCAAGGCGACGAUCCAUAGCUGGUCUGAGAGGAUGAUCAGCCACACUGGGACUGAGACACGGCCCAGACUCCGACGGGAGGCAGCAGUGGGGAAUAUUGGGCAAGGGGCGAAAGCCUGAUCCAGCAAUGCCGCGUGAGUGAUGAAGGCCUUAGGGUUGUAAAGCUCUUUUACCCGGGAUGAUAAUGACAGUACCGGGAGAAUAAGCUCCGGCUAACUCCGUG
rnacentral:rRNA from 1 species